GGAUUUCUGUCGAGGAUGGCCGGUCCGCACUUUGUGCGUGCAUCUGGUUCAGCCUUGGCAUCCUCCUGGGGAUCGUAUCUGCGCUUAAUUGCGUGGUGCGGUAUCCAGGACUUUUACUUUGAGGAAAUUAGAGUGUUCACGGCAGGCAAACGCCUUGAAUACAUUAGCAUGGAAUAAUAAUAUAGGACCUUGGUCCCAUUUUGUUGGUUUCUGGAACUGAGGUAAUGAUUAAUAGGGAUAAUUGGGGGCAUUCGUAUUAA
rnacentral:rRNA from 1 species